rnacentral:lncRNA from 1 species
GGAUAUCUAUCAAACGCAAAGGAAACAAUAUUAUGGAUAGGAUCUCAUAUAUGUGUAAUAAUUAUGGUACUAAUUAAUUAGUAUAUAUAUGGCAAAUAUCACUAAAAUUGAAAUACGAAAUCUUGGUCAAUAUAAUUUCAUUAAUCAAUUAUUUAAUUAUCUUUGGAUAGCUAAUUUUUUUGACUGUUACGUGUAUAUGUAAUUUAGCAUUGAAAAGUGGAUUAUGAUUGGUUCAAAGAUGAUAUGUGAAUCAUGGGAUACGGGUCGUUUUGUUGACCAUAAUUUUAAUUAACUUUGAAUAUAGUUUUAAAUUUCAAUUUUUUUUUUCCUUAAAAAAAAAUUUUAAUUUAUUUCUCUUUGGUCACAGUUACGGGUGAAUAUUAUCAAAUGAUUUUUAUUCUUUGUUUGGAUGUGAGCUUUUUUUUUUUUUUUUUUUUUUUUUUUUUUUUUUUUUUUUUUUUUUUUUUUUUUUCUAAAUGAAAAUCUUCAAUUGCUUUCAUCCCCAAACAGUCUAAGUGAGUAAAUUUUCUGAAAUUGUGGUAAAUCAGGAGGUUGGAGGUUCAGAUUAAAGAGAUGUGACGUGGUUAUAGAAAAUGAACUUUAAAUUUUUUUGUUGUAGUUCAUUUGCAAGUUCUUAGAUAUGAACUGACAUUAUAUAUAAGUGGAUAUUUGAAAAUAAUUUGAAGACACAAUUGUUGCUAUCAAAAAUUUAACUCCAAACUCAAAUUUGCACAUACUUCUUUACUAAGUAUUCUAAUUUUUUAAAUGAAAAUUAAACUUUCAUUUCACACUAAAAUUGUUGCACUAAAAAUGGGAGGGCUAAUUUUAAAAUUUUGAUCAGGAUGUAAAAGUUGGUGUUAAUUAGGAAAAAUGGGUGGGAUUUUCCUGUAAUUCACCCUUUAAUUAUAGGUAUAAGUCAUUAGUUUAUGAGAAUAAAUUGACAUGACAUACUCCCUCCAUUCUUUUUAUAUAGGUACAAUCUUAUUUUCAC